rnacentral:rRNA from 1 species
CACGUAGUUAGCCGGGCCUUCCUCCAUGGGUACCGUCAGUGCUUCGUCCCCAUGAACAGUGGUUUACACUCCGAAAAGCGUCAUCCCACACGCGGCGUUGCUCCGUCAGGCUUGCGCCCAUUGCGGAAAAUUCCUUGCUGCUGCCUCCCGUAGGAGUCGGGGCCGUGUCUCAGUCCCCGUGUGGCUGAUCAUCCUCUCAAACCAGCUACCGAUCAUCGCCACGGUAGGCCGUUACCCCACCGUCUAGCUAAUCGGACGCAGGCCCCUCCAUCGGCGCCCGAAGGCUUUCCUCUCAUAACCCACUCGUCACAAGAGCUCAUGCGGUAUUACCCACUGUUUCCAGCGGUUAUCCCCCACAUUGGGCAGGUUGCCCACGUGUUCCUCACCCGUCCGCCACGUAAGUUCCACCGAAGUCGAACCCCGUUGACUUGCAUGCAUUAGGCACGCCGCCAGCCGUUGAUCCUGAGCCAGGAUCAAACUCU